CGCCGGUAAGGUGAUAUGAACCGUUAUAACCGGCGAUACCCGAAUGGGGAAACCCAGUGUGACUCGUCACACUAUCAUUAACUGAAUCCAUAGGUUAAUGAGGCGAACCGGGGGAACUGAAACAUCUAAGUACCCCGAGGAAAAGAAAUCAACCGAGAUUCCCCCAGUAGCGGCGAGCGAACGGGGAGGAGCCCAGAGCCUGAAUCAGCAUGUGUGUUAGUGGAAGCGUCUGGAAAGGCGCGCGAUACAGGGUGACAGCCCCGUACACAAAAGCGCAUGUGCUGUGAGCUCGAUGAGUAGGGCGGGACACGUGGUAUCCUGUCUGAAUAUGGGGGGACCAUCCUCCAAGGCUAAAUACUCCUGACUGACCGAUAGUGAACCAGUACCGUGAGGGAAAGGCGAAAAGAACCCCGGCGAGGGGAGUGAAAAAGAACCUGAAACCGUGUACGUACAAGCAGUGGGAGCACCCUUUGGGUGUGACUGCGUACCUUUUGUAUAAUGGGUCAGCGACUUAUAUUCUGUAGCAAGGUUAACCGAAUAGGGGAGC
rnacentral:rRNA from 2 species